rnacentral:rRNA from 1 species
GACGAACGCUGGCGGCGUGCCUAACACAUGCAAGUCGAGCGGAGUCGAUCGACGGAAGCCUUCGGGCGGAAGAUGGUUGACUUAGCGGCGGAUGGGUGAGUAACGCGUGGGCAACCUGCCUCGAAGACCGGGAUAACAGCCCGAAAGGGCUGCUAAUACCGGAUGUGGUCAAGGAUCCGCAUGGAUUUUUGAUUAAAGGGGAAACCCGUUUCGAGAUGGGCCCGCGUCCUAUCAGCUAGUUGGUGAGGUAAAAGCUCACCAAGGCGACGACGGGUAGCCGGCCUGAGAGGGUGACCGGCCACACUGGAACUGAGACACGGUCCAGACUCCUACGGGGGGCAGCAGUGGGGAAUCUUCCACAAUGGGCGAAAGCCUGAUGGAGCAACGCCGCGUGGGUGAAGAAGGCCUGGUUGUAAGCCUGUCUUAUGGAAGAAGUACAGUGACGGUACCACUAGGAGGAAGCCACGGCUAACUACGUGCCAGCAGCCGCGGUAACGUAGAGUAGUACGA